rnacentral:lncRNA from 1 species
CUCUGAAACGGUAAGUUCACCAUCAGUGCUCCAAACGUUCGGCAACACUUCCACUGCUUGACCUUCUCUUCUGAGCAUCUGGACAGCUCCUACAUACUUCUUAAGUUGCACUUUUAGCACUUCAUUUUCUCGUGCCAAGGCUUGGACUUUCGUGGCAUGUCGCUCUUCCUGUUCUGCCACCUUCCUUCUCCAAUUGUCCAUUUCCUGCCUCAGUGCUGCAGAAUGCUCCAUCUCACCAUCAAGCAGAUUUCUAAGGGACCUAUUCUGUUCUUCCAGUUCAUCCUUCCUAUUCAUCAUGGCCACAAUAGCUUGACGAAGUUCAUUAACUGUCAUGGAUUCGGGCACAGUGGCUGAAGGCAACAUACUGUUUAAGGUAUUCACUUGAGCAGGAGGACUGACUUCCACUCUGUAGGAAAUAUCAGAUCUUCUUGGAAAUAGUUCUACUGCAUCAUUUUCAUGUCCCCC